CCUACGGGCGGCAGCAGUGGGGAAUAUUGCGCAAUGGGCGAAAGCCUGACGCAGCGACGCCGCGUGAGGGAUGAAGGUCUUCGGAUCGUAAACCUCUGUCAGCAGGGAAGAACGGUCACUGUGCUAAUCAGCAGUGAAUUGACGGUACCUGCAAAGGAAGCACCGGCUAACUCCGUGCCAGCAGCCGCGGUAAUACGGAGGGUGGGAGCGUUAAUGGGAAUUGCUGGGCGUAAAGCGCUCGUAGGAGGUAUGUCAAGUCAAGGGUGAAAUACCCGCGCUCAACGUGGGAACUGCCUUUGAAACGGGCAGACUGGAGUGUGUGAGAGGAUGGUGGAAUUCCAGGUGUAGGAGUGAAAUCCGUAGAGAUCU
rnacentral:rRNA from 1 species